rnacentral:misc_RNA from 1 species
GAUGAAGAACGCAGCGAAAUGCGAUACUUGGUGUGAAUUGCAGAAUCCCGUGAACCAUCGAAUCUUUGAACGCAAGUUGCGCCCGAAGCCAUUAGGCCGAGGGCACGCCUGCCUGGGCGUCACACGUCGUUGCCCCCCCAUCUACUCCUUCGGGAUUGCGGGGGGCGGAUGAUGGCCUCCCGUGCGCCUCGUCGCGCGGUUGGCAUAAAUGCCAAGUCCUCGGCGACGCACGCCACGACAAUCGGUGGUUGCGAAACCUCGGUUGCCCGUCGUGUGCGGUCGUCGCGCAUCGAGGGCUCGAAAAAAUUGCCGGGCUCCGGCUCGGCUUUCAACGCGACCCCAGGUCAGGCGGGGUUACCCGCUGAAUUUAAGCAUAUCAAUAAGCGGAGGA